CUCCAUCGAAGAACCCCUAACCGCGACGAAGAACCCCUAACCCUCCUUUGAGUUUCUUCGCUCUUCUCUCGCCAGUCUCACCCUCAAGCUCACUGAGUCUCACCUCUCUCACGGCUGGUCUCGCCGUCGACCUCUCUCUAUCUCUCCGGUAUAUCGCUUCUCGUGGGCGUUUCAGACUCAAGGUCGUCGCGCUCUGUUUCUGUCGCUGCUCUAUCACCGUCACUGCUCUAUCGCGCUCUGUCGCAAGCGAAUCGAUGGAAUUUGACCCAAUCCCAAUCGGUUCCUACUCCAAAGAGAACCAGAGCAUCUACCAGCAGUUGUUUAAAUUACGCCGAUUCAGGUAUGCAUUGUUUAAAUUACGCCGAUAAACCUUAGGGCUCAAUUUUUCUACGCCAGUUUUAGCUAGCAAAGCAUUGCCGUAUGGAGUUACUCAUGCAUCAAAGGCUCUAGAACCUGCUACUCUUGUUCCUCUUCAGCUUUUAAAGUCAAGUGGAACCAAAUGCAUAAUGGUUGGUGACCCAAAGCAACUUCCUGCAACUGUCCUCUCAAAUGUUGCGAGUAAAUAUCUUUACGAGUGCAGCAUGUUUGAACGUUUACAAAGGGCAGGGCAUCCUGUUAUCAUGCUUACUGAGCAGGUACAUAGUUUGCUACUGGAUCUGAUCUGAAGUCUUUUUGUUUUUAAGGUUUAGGGUUUAUCCGUUUAGUUUGCCUUGUUUGACUGAAUAAUCAAUUCAACACAAUUCU